UUUCAGAUCCUUACACGAGCAUGAAACCUGAUAACGAAUAUUCCCCUGCUGAUGAAGUGGAUGCUUCGUAUCUGUCAACCCACGAGGGUUCUACAGGACCGGAGGGUUAUGUGAAUAUGGAGAAAAUCAAGAAUCAAAGUGGCAGCCCGUAUGAGAAUGAUUAACUAGACCCAAGUGUCUUACUGUCUGUCUACUCGAGUGUGGCUCCAGCACUGAAAGACUCAAGACCAUGGAGUGACUACUCUACUAAACAUUUUACUAAGCAGUCUGGCGAUAUUUUUCUCUAUACCCUCUUCACUUUUUUCUGACCCCGGUUGAGACAAGACAUGAACAAAUCGCUCUGUUUAACCUUUUCAGCUUUUCAGGUCUUUGCAUGCGGGUCUUGAAGUUGGAUGACCAACAUAAUCAUCUAAAAGCCCUUUUGUGAAGGCCACCUCUAACUUAAGGAUCCGACACAUUUUUUAAAAUGUUAGCCAUCAGUGGGUUAAAAAAUAAUAGGGGGUUUACAAUAUUCACCUAGAACAUUAAUAAGUUGGCUAAAACAGCACCUGGACAUGGAUGGCUGGUGCCUCUAUCAAUAAAUCAUUGAUGGUCAAGGUAAUAAGUUGGCCUGUUCUCCUCAACACUAAAGUUUAACCUACGCCUAAGAAACACGGAACAACAGAUGGGUGAGUACCUUUCGAGACUCACGUAGAGACUUCUAUAUUAUAGUAAUGGGGUGAAAUCUACAAGCUUACAUUGAAAUGUGGAGGCAGGGUGGUGUCGCUGUCUCAAUAUUAGCAAUUUGUAGGCUGGGUUACUGCUAAUAGUUUAUUUUAGUGAUCCUGCAUACGCAUCCGAAUAGCGGUUUUUAAUAUAGUGCCCAAAUACAUACAUUAUACAUUUUCAUUACUGGAUCAAGAUUAAAACAAAAUAUCUUUGUUUGGUCGCUGGUCUGCAGAAGUGCCGUGCAAAGUUUUGUGGGCAUAGUUUAAUUAAUCAAUGAGGUAUAGCUUGUUCGGAUUCCUCUGUUCGUUUUAAAAACGUUUAGCUCAUUUAUUAAUUCACCUAUUUGCACAAAUCAAUCACCAAUCUGAGAAGAAAUGAAAGAUCAGUCCGUCAGUUUGAUUAAAGAUAAGAUGAUUUUGCUGAGAUUUGAUAGAUGUUUGCAAUGAGUGUAAACUACUGGGGGAUGUCGUGAGCCCGCUGAACUGGCGUGGCGUACACAAAGAGUUGAAAGUAUGGCCGCGUCUUGCUUCAUGAUAAGUUUUGUAGAACGGCAAAACUGACAUCGCAAAAUCCCUUCUAUUGCUGUUCCCUAUAAUAACUUUGCUUUUGUCGACUACAGCAUGCAGCUUUAAUUCAUCGAGGUAUAUUAUUUGUUAUUUCCAAGAGUGAAUAUUUGCACAACUUGUAAUCUGUUUGCACAACUUGUAAUGUGUUUGCACAGAUUAUCGGAAUACGUUUUCUUUCCACUGUGAUUUUUCAGUGCUCAAUAAUAUUCUUUUACGAUUACUUGUAUACUCUUCGAUCAUGUGUGUGUGUGUGUGUGUGUGUGUGUGUGCGCGCGCGCGCGUGUG
rnacentral:lncRNA from 1 species